rnacentral:misc_RNA from 1 species
AAGUCGUAACAAGGUUUUCGUAGGUGAACCUGCGGAAGGAUCAUUAAAUUAAUAUUUUUUAAUCUAAUAAAAAACUUUUAUUUUUUUUAUCACUGGGAAUUUUCUUUUCUCUCGCGACUUUAGUUGAGAGAGGAAAUGAAAAAACGGUUUUAAAUAAAACAAAUCCCAAUCUUUUUAUUUUUUUUUUUUGGGGGCCACCUUUAACCAUUAUUUAAAACAUUUAGUGCUUAUAAACACAUUCUAAAUUUAAUUUUUUAGUCUUAACUAUAAAAUAACUUUCAACAACGGAUCUCUAGGCUCUU